UACGGAGGGUGCGAGCGUUGUCCGGAAUCACUGGGCGUAAAGGGCGCGUAGGCGGCUUUUUAAGGGUGCGGUGAAAGCCCGGGGCUUAACCCCGGGUCGGCCGUGCCGACUGAAAAGCUGGAGCACUGUAGAGGCAGGUGGAAUUCCGGGUGUAGCGGUGGAAUGCGUAGAGAUCCGGAAGAACACCAGUGGCGAAGGCGGCAUCCUGGACCGGUAUUGACGCUGAGGAGCGAAAGCCAGGGGAGCAAACGGG
rnacentral:rRNA from 1 species